rnacentral:rRNA from 1 species
GUGCCUAAUACAUGCAAGUCGAGCGGACCGACGGGAGCUUGCUCCCUUAGGUCAGCGGCGGACGGGUGAGUAACACGUGGGUAACCUGCCUGUAAGACUGGGAUAACUCCGGGAAACCGGGGCUAAUACCGGAUGCUUGAUUGAACCGCAUGGUUCAAUCAUAAAAGGNGGCUUUUAGCUACCACUUACAGAUGGACCCGCGGCGCAUUAGCUAGUUGGUGAGGUAACGGCUCACCAAGGCGACGAUGCGUAGCCCACCUGAGAGGGUGAUCGGCCACACUGGGACUGAGACACGGCCCAGACUCCUACGGGAGGCAGCAGUAGGGAAUCUUCCGCAAUGGACGAAAGUCUGACGGAGCAACGCCGCGUGAGUGAUGAAGGUUUUCGGAUCGUAAAACUCUGUUGUUAGGGAAGAACAAGUACCGUUCGAAUAGGGCGGUACCUUGACGGUACCUAACCAGAAAGCCACGGCUAACUACGUGCCAGCAGCCGCGGUAAUACGUAGGUGGCAAGCGUUGUCCGGAAUUAUUGGGCGUAAAGCGCGCGCAGGCGGUUUCUUAAGUCUGAUGUGAAAGCCCCCGGCUCAACCGGGGAGGGUCAUUGGAAACUGGGGAACUUGAGUGCA